rnacentral:rRNA from 1 species
UGGGGAAUAUUGCACAAUGGAGGGAACUCUGAUGCAGCGACGCCGCGUGAACGAAGAAGGCUUUCGCGUCGUAAAGUUCUUGUAUAUGGGAAGAUAAUGACGGUACCAUAAGAAAAAGCCCCGGCUAACUACGUGCCAGCAGCCGCGGUAAUACGUAGGGGGCUAGCGUUGUCCGGAAUCACUGGGCGUAAAGGGUUCGCAGGCGGAAAUGCAAGUCAGGUGUAAAAGGCAGUAGCUUAACUACUGUAAGCAUUUGAAACUGCAGAUCUUGAGAAGAGUAGAGGUAAGUGGAAUUUUUAGUGUAGCGGUGAAAUGCGUAGAUAUUAAAAAGAAUACCGGUGGCGAAGGCGGCUUACUGGGCUCAUUCUGACGCUGAGGAACGAAAGCGUGGGUAGCAAACAGG